rnacentral:rRNA from 1 species
UACGAAGGGUGCAAGCGUUAAUCGGCAUUACUGGGCGUAACGGGUGCGUAGGCGGUUUGUUAAGCCAGAUGUGAAAUCCCCGGGCUUAACCUGGGAACUGCAUUUGGAACUGGAAGACUAGAGUACGGCAGAGGGGGGUAGAAUUCCACGUGUAGCAGUGAAAUGCGUAGAUAUGUGGAGGAAUACCGAUGGCGAAGGCAGCCCCCUGGGUCGAUACUGACGCUCAUGCACGAAAGCGUGGGGAGCAAACAGG